GACGACGCUGGCGGCGUGCUUAAUACAUGCAAGUCGAGCGAGGUUACUGUUUUGGAUCCCUUCGGGGUGAAGAAGCUUUAACCUAGCGGCGGACGGGUGAGUAACGCGUGGGUAACCUACCCCAAAGUCCGGGAUAACAGCGGGAAACCGCUGCUAAUACCGGAUGCCUUUACCUUGGGGCAUCUUGAGGUAAAGAAAGGUAACGCUUUGGGAUGGGCCCGCGUCCCAUUAGCUAGUUGGUGAGGUAACGGCUCACCAAGGCGGCGAUGGGUAGCCGGCCUGAGAGGGUGGACGGCCACACUGGGACUGAGACACGGCCCAGACUCCUACGGGAGGCAGCAGUAGGGAAUAUUGCGCAAUGGACGGAAGUCUGACGCAGCGACGCCGCGUGAGCGAUGAAGGUCUUCGGAUCGUAAAGCUCUGUCCUUGGGGAAGAAGGCGAAAGCUUGACGGUACCCAAGAAGAAACGCCCCGGCUAACUACGUG
rnacentral:rRNA from 1 species